rnacentral:snRNA from 1 species
GAUUUCCGUCGAGGGCGUUUGAUAAAAUUGAAAUGAUAGAGAGAAGAUUAGAUUAGCAUGGCCCCCUACGUAAGGAUGACAUGCACAAAUCGAGAAAUGGUCUAAAAAUAU